AGUGCUCUAACAACUGCUCUGUUUUAAUGUUAAAUCAGUAAAUUGUUUUGUAACACCAAAACAAAUACCUACUUGAUUUUUAAAGUCGAGAUCACAUUAACAAUACUAGUACAUUGCUAAAUGUCUACUACCGCCCAUCAUAUCAGAACUUAAUUUAAAAAAUGACUAUAUGAAAGGAUAUUUUUAUCAUUGUUAACAUAACCAGUGUUUUAUUUAGUAUUUUUACUGCUUAUAAUUGAUGCUAAUAUAGUUUUUUGUUACCUCAGAAAUCAUUUAUCGCUGCGGCCGGACAGCAAACUGCUCUUUGGCAGGUACAUUAAGGUAAAACUGUUGUCAUGGAUACAGUCAGCUGUAGCCAUCAGAAUUAAUUGUGUGCAUGUAUGUGUGUGUUUAUUUAUGUCUAUAUAUUUAUCUAUCUUAGAAAAUGGGCAAAACAUGAGUCCUAACAUUAGUGGAAUGGAAGGAGGAACCAUCGACCUAUGACAAUAUUGUUUCUAAAAAGAACCUACUGAAAAAGAAAUUUGAACCUGGGGAUGUUGUGGAUGUUGCCUAUGAGGAUGAAAGUUCACCAGCCACAGUUCUAGACAUUAAAGAGAACAAAGAAACUCUCAGGAGGAGGAUAUUCAGAAGAGGGGAAUUUACAGACGUAGUACAGAAGAAGUUUCCAAACGUACCAAUAAAAUUUAUCAGAGCAGCAGUAAGGGGAAAAAGUAAAUGAUGAGCACAAGUUACAAGUAAGGAAAAUGGAGUAAACGCAGCCUGUUCAUUGGAUUCUGGUCUACUUUUUAUUUUUAUUUUUUUUAACAAUUUUAAUAAAUAAUUUGUGAAAAUACAUUGAUUCAUUGUGAAAUUUCUCUAACUUUAUGUCUAUCCUGCACA